AGGGUCAGAGACCCAAGUCCACAUAGAAGGAGGGAGCAGAGCCAGGACUCCAGUCCACGACCGGCUGGCACCCCACCUGGCCUCACCACCACUGCACCAUACUUGGAAGCCUCUGCGAAGGCACAUCACGGCCAGCUCUGUUCCUGCAGCAGACGCUGUGUGCAUGGCUCCCUUGCCGUACUGCAUGGAGACCCUGCUAUCUUCCUCCGGGUCUAAGGUGACUCUGUUUUGUGAAAUGUCAUCUACUAUGGAGAGGCGAAUAUUGAUCAGAAGAGAAGUCAAGUGGUUAAGAGGUGUACAGUCAUCACUGAAUGCCGAGCCUUGCUCAGGAAUUUAAUCCCACAUGAUCAACAUCUGGCUGUGAUUAGCAUUUCUAUCGUCGGUUUGUCAAGACAACAGUAGAACCACUUAAUUCUCCUCACUGCCCUCACGCACCCUCAGUCAAGUCUGCGUAUAUUUAUCGGGUGUCCUUUGGUACAAGACCUUAUGCUUCACCUUUGCCCAGAAGUUGGCCCUCUGUACUAUCACCAUCAC